rnacentral:lncRNA from 1 species
AAGCAGGCCAGGCCACGAGACACCUACGGUAGAAUCCAAAUACAACAACGGUCUGUUCAACAAGAGGCCAGGUACACCAAACAUUUGACCCAACUAGAAGCUCUGAAUAUAUCGCAAACAUCCAUUUUCCAGAGGCCAAACUGCAGCUGGGGAAUUGCAUUGUCCACCAGUUUACACUUCACAGGAAAUUAUACAACAAAUGUUGCUUUCAUCACUCUCAGAUCCUUUACCCGGCUGCUUGCUGGAGGUAACACCAAGUACCCUGGUUGAAACUGAACUUCCCUGGUGCUGGUCUGCUCCUCGGAGCGUUCCCCGUUAUCAGAUUACACAUCUGACACAGAAUUGUUCAGAAAACUUCUGGGUAGUACAUGCAUGCUUUGCCCUAAGAAUCUGACCUACUUUUCAUAUGCAGUUUUUACAUGAAAUGGCUCGAAGCAAUAAAACAUAUAGAUUCUAAAAUGCCGUAUUCUGCUACUAGAUACAAUUACCUAACAUGCUAGUAGGCUGAGCUUGUAAACUACACAGAGAUAUCCCUGAAGCAACAUGAUGCUAUUGCUCUGCCACCUCCUCCCCCUCCUCUUCAUCAGCUGCCCGCCAAGCAAGAAGACCAAGACCAUCUCCUUUAAUACUUCCCUGCAAAAGCAUUACUACCGCAGUUACUCACCAAAGCAUGAAAGGACAAAUUUCAGCGUGAUGCUGCUGCUGCCUGCACGCCAGUUUUGUUUGCAUUGCAGGUGUGCAAAUUAAAAAAGCUCCAAAAGGAAAAAAAAAUCGAUGACAAACGGUCGUCACCUUGGCACAAGAGAAGGGAGCGAAGGAAGAAAAAGCAGCCCACAUGUGAAGGAAGAAAAGGUUAGCCCCACACACUAACUCCCUUCCUUCCUCUUCCUCUCCAUCCAUGGCCCAUUAUUACGGUUGGGCCUCCAGCUUCUCUUCCAAGUUGCUGCGAACCAACAACGAGUGGGGUGGAAUUUACCUGAAAAUUCAAUUUCAAUUGUGCACUAGUUGGAACGGGAGCACCAGCAAAAAUCAUUUCCGGUCUUCCACGGGAUAUUUAGGGGUGUUUGGAUCCUGAGCUAAAGUUUAAUCCGUAUCGCAUUGAAUAUUCAGCAUGAUCUAAUUACGAAAGAACCCAUCGGUCGCAGCCGCGACAGGCGCCCCACUAUUCUCCGUGUCCCCGUCGUCAUCCUCCCGACGCCCAGGAGGCUACCGCCUCUGUUCUCCUCUCCCUCUCUUAGCUGCCGCCAGAUCCCAAGAGGCCAUCGUCGAUUCGAGCACGGGAGGCGGCCAACUACACGGGUACGAUCAAUGGAGGAGCUUCUCGGCCGUGGAGUAGCAAGACGCCGCCGGCAGCGACCACCACCACCAUCACCUGGGAGGAUACGACGGCCACCACCACGGCUCGGCGAGGUUCGCCGUGGAGGACAAGAUGGACAUGCUGUGGGAGGAUUUCAACGAGGAGCUCGCCCGGGCCGCGCAGCCGUGCCCGCUGACCAAGGGGACGCCGUCGUGGGCGGCGACGAAGGAGUCCUGGUUCGCUGGCGACGGCUACGAAGGCGCCGCGGAGACGCGCAAGCACGCCGUCGUCCGGCAGCGGAGGAUGGGCCUGCUCAUGAUGCUGAGGCUGCUCAAGAAGCUGUUCCUGGCGCGCAAGUCCGGCGCCGCUCCGUCGAGGAAGUCCAUGUUAAGAGCAUGAAGCAGCAUAAGCAAAGUAUCUGCAAGCUACACCAUCUGCGCACUGUUAUCUGUAUUGGUCCUCUGGUGGAUGAUGCAGAUGAUGUUUUCCAUCAGGUACUGCAGAAUCUGAAGAGGCUACGUGUUCUCUCUAUGUGCUUUUACAACAAAGAAAAAUUACCUGAAUCUGUUGGUGAGUUGAAGCACCUUCGGUAUUUGAACGUCAUUCAAACCACAAUAUCAGAAUUUCCUGCAUCUUUGUGCACUCUUUACCACUUGCAGAUCCUUCUGUUCAGUUACAGAGUUCAGAGUUUGCCUAAGAAACUAUGCAAUUUAAGUAAGUUACUAAGUUUUGAACCAUAUCGUGAAGGAUCCUACAGGAAAAGACUUUAUGCAGAGCUGCCUCAAAUUCCUUAAAUAGGCAAGCUAACUUCGCUGCAAAAUCUUGAAGAAUUCCGUGUGCAAAAGCAGAAAGGAUAUGAGCCGCGACAGCUGAGGGACAUGAAUGGGCUUGGUGGGUUAUCUAUUACAAAUCUCGAGAAUGUCACUAGAAAGGAUGAAGCUGCAGAGAUGAUGCUGCAUAAGAAAAGAUAUCUUGAACAUUUGGAACUUAUCUGGAGCAAUGAGAGUGACUCGCAUGCUGAGGAUAGUUUACAUCUGGACAUUCUAGAAGGUCUGAGGCCACCGGCUCAAUUGCAGGGCCUUGCAAUCGAGGGUUACAAAUCUGACAGAUACCCAAGCUGGUUACUAGAGGGUUCAUAUUUUGACAAUUGGACUUGUUUGGACUUCAUGAUUGCACUGCGUUAGAAGGUCUACCACUCAACACCGAGGUCUUUAGGCAUUGCUCCAGACUGGUGAUCUGGGACGUACCAAACCUGAAGACAUUACUUUGUCUGCCAGAAGGCAUGGCAGAUGUAUCAAUUAAAGGAUGCCCGCUGCUUAUGUUUAUCUCCAGCAACGAGAUGAGAGAACAUGAUAAGAGAGAAAAUAUUGUGAUGCCAGAGCAAUUGGUGUCUCAGCUUUGUUUGAUCUGGGAGUUGGAUUCAGGAUCACAUCCAGUGAUUAAGAGCAACCUUCAUGAAGAACAUUCAUCUUUGAAGCAACUGACGCCAUUGGUGGAUGCUGAUAUAUCCCAACAUCUUCAGACCAUCAGCGGGGCCCUUGAACAAGAAAAGGAUGAAGUAUAUGAUAAAGAAACAGUCAUCAAGGCAUGGUUAUGUUGCCACGAGCAGAGAAUAAAACUCUUGUACGGGACUAAUAUUGGGCAACAGUUGCUUCUGCCAUCAACUCUGGGUAACCUUUAUCUUUCUUCAUGCAGUAUUACAAAUGGCGCUUUAGGAGUUUGCCUAGGCUGCCUCACUUUACUAAGAGAACUGUCGUCUAUUUGAGGAGUGGGAAAUGAUGUUGUUGCAGUUGCAGUUCCUGUCUUCAUCAGGGACGGCAAGAUCGUCGGCCGCUACGUCGGCUCCGGCAAGGGCGAGCUCGUCGGCGAGAUCCUCAGAUACAACGGCGUCAGGGUCACCUACUGAAGCCAACAAGCCAACAGGCCCCCCAGUCUUCAAUCUCAUUCAGCAGCACCAACAAUACACACACAUGAAUGGAGAACAGUUUGAAAAUUGAAGAUACAACAUGUAAAAUUACGGCGACAUCCAGUUUAGACUGUUUAUUGGGCACCAUUACCAUAAGUGUAUGUUACUCAGUAUUAUUCUAUACUAAUAGUACAAUUUUGGAGUGCUAACAGCUGCUACUCUGAAACUUUGAUCUAUCAGCUUGCUUCUCCAGUUUCUCUUGCAACGAGUUUACAGCGAUGCAGCGACUUUUGUAUCUCUUCAUACAGACGAUUCUAACGACCGCAAUGACUUUUGUACGUCUUUAUACAGACGAUUCUAACGACUUGGCACUUGCGAUGUUAUCCAGCAAUGGCACAGCCACAGACACCACAAAAAUUUGUUUCAAAGCAGGCCAGGCCACGAGACACCUACGGUAGAAUCCAAAUACAACAACGGUCUGUUCAACAAGAGGCCAGGUACACCAAACAUUUGACCCAACUAGAAGCUCUGAAUAUAUCGCAAACAUCCAUUUUCCAGAGGCCAAACUGCAGCUGGGGAAUUGCAUUGUCCACCAGUUUACACUUCACAGGAAAUUAUACAACAAAUGUUGCUUUCAUCACUCUCAGAUCCUUUACCCGGCUGCUUGCUGGAGGUAACACCAAGUACCCUGGUUGAAACUGAACUUCCCUGGUGCUGGUCUGCUCCUCGGAGCGUUCCCCGUUAUCAGAUUACACAUCUGACACAGAAUUGUUCAGAAAACUUCUGGGUAGUACAUGCAUGCUUUGCCCUAAGAAUCUGACCUACUUUUCAUAUGCAGUUUUUACAUGAAAUGGCUCGAAGCAAUAAAACAUAUAGAUUCUAAAAUGCCGUAUUCUGCUACUAGAUACAAUUACCUAACAUGCUAGUAGGCUGAGCUUGUAAACUACACAGAGAUAUCCCUGAAGCAACAUGAUGCUAUUGCUCUGCCACCUCCUCCCCCUCCUCUUCAUCAGCUGCCCGCCAAGCAAGAAGACCAAGACCAUCUCCUUUAAUACUUCCCUGCAAAAGCAUUACUACCGCAGUUACUCACCAAAGCAUGAAAGGACAAAUUUCAGCGUGAUGCUGCUGCUGCCUGCACGCCAGUUUUGUUUGCAUUGCAGGUGUGCAAAUUAAAAAAGCUCCAAAAGGAAAAAAAAAUCGAUGACAAACGGUCGUCACCUUGGCACAAGAGAAGGGAGCGAAGGAAGAAAAAGCAGCCCACAUGUGAAGGAAGAAAAGGUUAGCCCCACACACUAACUCCCUUCCUUCCUCUUCCUCUCCAUCCAUGGCCCAUUAUUACGGUUGGGCCUCCAGCUUCUCUUCCAAGUUGCUGCGAACCAACAACGAGUGGGGUGGAAUUUACCUGAAAAUUCAAUUUCAAUUGUGCACUAGUUGGAACGGGAGCACCAGCAAAAAUCAUUUCCGGUCUUCCACGGGAUAUUUAGGGGUGUUUGGAUCCUGAGCUAAAGUUUAAUCCGUAUCGCAUUGAAUAUUCAGCAUGAUCUAAUUACGAAAGAACCCAUCGGUCGCAGCCGCGACAGGCGCCCCACUAUUCUCCGUGUCCCCGUCGUCAUCCUCCCGACGCCCAGGAGGCUACCGCCUCUGUUCUCCUCUCCCUCUCUUAGCUGCCGCCAGAUCCCAAGAGGCCAUCGUCGAUUCGAGCACGGGAGGCGGCCAACUACACGGGUACGAUCAAUGGAGGAGCUUCUCGGCCGUGGAGUAGCAAGACGCCGCCGGCAGCGACCACCACCACCAUCACCUGGGAGGAUACGACGGCCACCACCACGGCUCGGCGAGGUUCGCCGUGGAGGACAAGAUGGACAUGCUGUGGGAGGAUUUCAACGAGGAGCUCGCCCGGGCCGCGCAGCCGUGCCCGCUGACCAAGGGGACGCCGUCGUGGGCGGCGACGAAGGAGUCCUGGUUCGCUGGCGACGGCUACGAAGGCGCCGCGGAGACGCGCAAGCACGCCGUCGUCCGGCAGCGGAGGAUGGGCCUGCUCAUGAUGCUGAGGCUGCUCAAGAAGCUGUUCCUGGCGCGCAAGUCCGGCGCCGCUCCGUCGAGGAAGUCCAUGUUAAGAGCAUGAAGCAGCAUAAGCAAAGUAUCUGCAAGCUACACCAUCUGCGCACUGUUAUCUGUAUUGGUCCUCUGGUGGAUGAUGCAGAUGAUGUUUUCCAUCAGGUACUGCAGAAUCUGAAGAGGCUACGUGUUCUCUCUAUGUGCUUUUACAACAAAGAAAAAUUACCUGAAUCUGUUGGUGAGUUGAAGCACCUUCGGUAUUUGAACGUCAUUCAAACCACAAUAUCAGAAUUUCCUGCAUCUUUGUGCACUCUUUACCACUUGCAGAUCCUUCUGUUCAGUUACAGAGUUCAGAGUUUGCCUAAGAAACUAUGCAAUUUAAGUAAGUUACUAAGUUUUGAACCAUAUCGUGAAGGAUCCUACAGGAAAAGACUUUAUGCAGAGCUGCCUCAAAUUCCUUAAAUAGGCAAGCUAACUUCGCUGCAAAAUCUUGAAGAAUUCCGUGUGCAAAAGCAGAAAGGAUAUGAGCCGCGACAGCUGAGGGACAUGAAUGGGCUUGGUGGGUUAUCUAUUACAAAUCUCGAGAAUGUCACUAGAAAGGAUGAAGCUGCAGAGAUGAUGCUGCAUAAGAAAAGAUAUCUUGAACAUUUGGAACUUAUCUGGAGCAAUGAGAGUGACUCGCAUGCUGAGGAUAGUUUACAUCUGGACAUUCUAGAAGGUCUGAGGCCACCGGCUCAAUUGCAGGGCCUUGCAAUCGAGGGUUACAAAUCUGACAGAUACCCAAGCUGGUUACUAGAGGGUUCAUAUUUUGACAAUUGGACUUGUUUGGACUUCAUGAUUGCACUGCGUUAGAAGGUCUACCACUCAACACCGAGGUCUUUAGGCAUUGCUCCAGACUGGUGAUCUGGGACGUACCAAACCUGAAGACAUUACUUUGUCUGCCAGAAGGCAUGGCAGAUGUAUCAAUUAAAGGAUGCCCGCUGCUUAUGUUUAUCUCCAGCAACGAGAUGAGAGAACAUGAUAAGAGAGAAAAUAUUGUGAUGCCAGAGCAAUUGGUGUCUCAGCUUUGUUUGAUCUGGGAGUUGGAUUCAGGAUCACAUCCAGUGAUUAAGAGCAACCUUCAUGAAGAACAUUCAUCUUUGAAGCAACUGACGCCAUUGGUGGAUGCUGAUAUAUCCCAACAUCUUCAGACCAUCAGCGGGGCCCUUGAACAAGAAAAGGAUGAAGUAUAUGAUAAAGAAACAGUCAUCAAGGCAUGGUUAUGUUGCCACGAGCAGAGAAUAAAACUCUUGUACGGGACUAAUAUUGGGCAACAGUUGCUUCUGCCAUCAACUCUGGGUAACCUUUAUCUUUCUUCAUGCAGUAUUACAAAUGGCGCUUUAGGAGUUUGCCUAGGCUGCCUCACUUUACUAAGAGAACUGUCGUCUAUUUGAGGAGUGGGAAAUGAUGUUGUUGCAGUUGCAGUUCCUGUCUUCAUCAGGGACGGCAAGAUCGUCGGCCGCUACGUCGGCUCCGGCAAGGGCGAGCUCGUCGGCGAGAUCCUCAGAUACAACGGCGUCAGGGUCACCUACUGAAGCCAACAAGCCAACAGGCCCCCCAGUCUUCAAUCUCAUUCAGCAGCACCAACAAUACACACACAUGAAUGGAGAACAGUUUGAAAAUUGAAGAUACAACAUGUAAAAUUACGGCGACAUCCAGUUUAGACUGUUUAUUGGGCACCAUUACCAUAAGUGUAUGUUACUCAGUAUUAUUCUAUACUAAUAGUACAAUUUUGGAGUGCUAACAGCUGCUACUCUGAAACUUUGAUCUAUCAGCUUGCUUCUCCAGUUUCUCUUGCAACGAGUUUACAGCGAUGCAGCGACUUUUGUAUCUCUUCAUACAGACGAUUCUAACGACCGCAAUGACUUUUGUACGUCUUUAUACAGACGAUUCUAACGACUUGGCACUUGCGAUGUUAUCCAGCAAUGGCACAGCCACAGACACCACAAAAAUUUGUUUCAAAGCAGGCCAGGCCACGAGACACCUACGGUAGAAUCCAAAUACAACAACGGUCUGUUCAACAAGAGGCCAGGUACACCAAACAUUUGACCCAACUAGAAGCUCUGAAUAUAUCGCAAACAUCCAUUUUCCAGAGGCCAAACUGCAGCUGGGGAAUUGCAUUGUCCACCAGUUUACACUUCACAGGAAAUUAUACAACAAAUGUUGCUUUCAUCACUCUCAGAUCCUUUACCCGGCUGCUUGCUGGAGGUAACACCAAGUACCCUGGUUGAAACUGAACUUCCCUGGUGCUGGUCUGCUCCUCGGAGCGUUCCCCGUUAUCAGAUUACACAUCUGACACAGAAUUGUUCAGAAAACUUCUGGGUAGUACAUGCAUGCUUUGCCCUAAGAAUCUGACCUACUUUUCAUAUGCAGUUUUUACAUGAAAUGGCUCGAAGCAAUAAAACAUAUAGAUUCUAAAAUGCCGUAUUCUGCUACUAGAUACAAUUACCUAACAUGCUAGUAGGCUGAGCUUGUAAACUACACAGAGAUAUCCCUGAAGCAACAUGAUGCUAUUGCUCUGCCACCUCCUCCCCCUCCUCUUCAUCAGCUGCCCGCCAAGCAAGAAGACCAAGACCAUCUCCUUUAAUACUUCCCUGCAAAAGCAUUACUACCGCAGUUACUCACCAAAGCAUGAAAGGACAAAUUUCAGCAUGAUAAAAGAAUAACUCUCUCAAAAGGCACACAAAGAUGCUAUGUUUGACAGAUCAAAGGAAUCAAAAUUCAAAGCACAACACGAUUCAGAUUAUGGGAUUUUGUCACCAUUACAAAACUUGUGCAUUAUGCUAUUUAUAUAGCGUAUGCAAGCAAGGAAUUGUGUCCUAGGCAUGCUAGAUUUGACACCGUGCAUGAUGACAUGGAAUGCAUAGCAAAUAACAGUGACUUCGGUGUAUAGAAUAUGCAAGUAAUCAUGUGUUAAGCAUGUUAGGUUUGACACCAUGCAUGAUGACAUGGCAUGAUGAGACGUUCCACAUGGCAAUGACAAGAAGUGAUGCAGAUACGGACACAUGUUAAGAAUUAUGCACCCAAAAAUACAAAAGCAUGCCAGCAUGUUUGUAUGAAUAGCCUUUGCCUUGCCAUCAAUCACAAGCUUUAUGUGACCUCUCCACUUCCUAUAUGUAAACACAGAGUGCUAUGCGUUGGCAACUUGGGAAUUGAG